UACGUAGGUGACAAGCGUUAUCCGGAAUUACUGGGCGUAAAGCGCACGCAGGCGGCCGCUUAAGUCUGACGUGAAAUCUCCUGGCUUAACUGGGAGGGGUCGUUGGAAACUGAGUGGCUUGAGGCAGUGAGAGGGGUGUAGAAUUCCCGGUGUAGUGGUGGAAUGCGUAGAUAUCGGGAGGAAUACCAGAGGCGAAGGCGACACCCUGGCACUGGCCUGACGCUCAUGUGCGAAAGCGUGGGGAGCGAAC
rnacentral:rRNA from 1 species